rnacentral:misc_RNA from 1 species
UCACCCGGCAGCACUCCCACCCCAACACCACUUUCUUCUCCUCCUCGUUGUUACCUAAUGGCGCUUCGAUUCUCGUGCGCUCUCGUGGCAGGCAGUGCGGUGCAUUCGUACCUCGCCUCCUCCAGCGCAAACGCGGCCCCAGCGAGCAAGCCAUACCUGACACCGUACACCACCAACUCGCGCAACAGUCGAGUCUUCUUUGACGUGGCGGAGCAGGGCGGGUCCUCUUUUUUCGGCAUGGCAACCCAGGAGCCGAUUGGGCGGAUCGAGUUUGAGUUGUUUGACGACACCGUCCCCGUCACGGCGAGGAGCUUUCGCGAGCUGUGCCGGGGAACUAGCAGCACGUCCCCAGAUGGCAAGCCGCUCACCUACAAGGGCUGCGCCUUUCACCGCAUCAUCCCAGACUUUAUGAUUCAGGGUGGCGACAUCACGAAGGGCAACGGCACCGGCGGCUGCUCCAUCUACGGCACGCGCUUCAAGGACGAGUCCUUCGACGGCAAGGCCGGCAAGCACAAGGGCCCCGGUAUUCUCUCCAUGGCCAACGCCGGUCGCAACACCAACGGCUCGCAAUUCUUCAUUUGCACCAUAGCGUGCCCGUGGCUGGAUGGGAAGCACGUCGUCUUUGGCCAGGUCCUCCACGGCUACGAGCAUGUGAAGAAACUGGAGAGCUACGGCACGCCGCACGGUAAGCCCAGCAAGACUGUGCUCAUCAGCGACUGUGGUGUGGUGAAGGAGAUGGAGCUCUAGCACAGCUUCGGUGUUCGUUCUUUUUUGUUCUCGUGUGUCGUGUUACGUUCUUGUAGGGUGUGGACCGGCUACGCAGAGGAACGGCAGCCAUGAGCUCUCCCGAGCAUCACCG